GACGAACGCUGGCGGCGUGCUUAACACAUGCAAGUCGAGCGGUAAGGCCCUUCGGGGUACACGAGUGGCGAACGGGUGAGUAACUCGUGGGUGAUCUGCCCUGCACUUCGGGAUAAGCCUGGGAAACUGGGUCUAAUACCGGAUAGGACCACUGCCUGCAUGGGUGGUGGUGGAAAGCUUUUGCGGUGGGGGAUGGGCCCGCGGCCUAUCAGCUUGUUGGUGGGGUGAUGGCCUACCAAGGCGACGACGGGUAGCCCGCCUGAGAGGGUUACCGGCCACACUGGACUGAGAUACGGCCCAGACUCCGACGGGAGGCAGCAGUGGGGAAUAUUGCACAGUGGGCGCAAGCCUGAUGCAGCGACGCCGCGUGAGGGAUGACGGCCUUCGGGUUGUAAACCUCUUUCAGCACCGACGAAGCGCAAGUGACGGUAGGUGCAGAAGAAGGACCGGCCAACUACGUGCCAGCAGCCGCAGUAA
rnacentral:rRNA from 1 species